rnacentral:rRNA from 1 species
CCUACGGGAGGCAGCAGUGGGGAAUAUUGCACAAUGGGGGAAACCCUGAUGCAGCGACGCCGCGUGAGUGAAGAAGUAUCUCGGUACGUAAAGCUCUAUCAUCAGGGAAGAAAAUGACGGUACCUGACUAAGAAGCCCCGGCUAACUACGUGCCAGCAGCCGCGGUAAUACGUAGGGGGCAAGCGUUAUCCGGAUUUACUGGGUGUAAAGGGAGCGUAGACGGCAGCACAAGUCUGGAGUGAAAUCCCGGGGCUUAACCCCGUGACUGCUUUGGAAACUGUGCGGCUGGAGUGCAGGAGGGGUAAGCGGAAGUCCUAGGGUAGCGGUGAAAUGCGUAGAUAUUAGGAGGAACACCGGUGGCGAAGGCGGCUUACUGGACUGUAACUGACGUUGAGGCUCGAAAGCGUGGGGAGCAAACAGGAUUAGAUACCCGUGUAGUC